UAUAACGGGGGAUGGGAAUAUAUCUGGACCCUCCGCAGCCGUUGAGCUCACCUGGAGUCAUGAUGUUCAGGACGACCAUGCCUUGACGUUUCACUUUCACGCCACAAGAUAUCGGAUAUGGAGAAAUCUGUAACCCAACUGGUCGAUUUGACGAAAUCAAUUAAUGAAGGAGGACCAUCGUCAAGAUAAGCUCGAGGAUAUGGAGAAAUCUCUAACCCAACUGGUCGAGGACCUUCGCUUACUACUCGCCAGUAGUGCCAACCCUAGUCAACCCGAAACGACGAAGAUUCCAAAUUCCACGGUGCAUGAGGUCGUUAAUCCUUACCUGAGAAUACCCAUGGAGGGGGAGAAUGCAUCCAGACUGCAAGAAUCUUCAGCCACUCCAACUUAUUCAUAUUCCAACCGGAGAAUCAGAUUAAAGGUUUAGAU